rnacentral:misc_RNA from 1 species
GUUGAGUUGAGUUGAGUUGAGUCCAGUAAACCCCUGAAAUAUUUUACAGCAGGUCAUGAAGAACUUGAUCACUUAGCCAAAAUUCUAAUAGGAUGUUAAAAAAAAUUAUGCAGGAUCCACAUAUCUGAAUUAAUCAUGAGGCCUAUUAAGAGAAGAAAACCAAUGGUCAUAAAACUUUGUUAACUUAUAACCUUCCAUCCAAUUGUUGAGAAGGUGGAGAAAUGGAAAAGAACAUGACAGAUUCUUAAAACAGUUUAAACCUCAAAACUUCUAUUUCCACCCAUCUUCCCAGCAACUGAAUAAAAUUUAGGUCAACAUCCAUGCCUGGCACAUAAUUUUCACACCAAGACAACACCUGUCUUAGUAAAACAAGGCACAUUAAUA